rnacentral:lncRNA from 1 species
CCCGCACGUCUCAUGCUCACGGUCGUAAGUGCAGAAGGUAAUUAGCACAGGAUCUUAAUAAACUGGCAGCUAGCCGACCGAAUCAUUAAAAACAGCCACAAAGAAAAUCCACACCAACAGUAACACUCCAGAGACAAUUCAGAAACACAAAAGUAUAUUUUGAAGGAAGGAUUACAGCCCUUCUUUGAAGUCUGGAAGUAGUUGU